GAAUCUUCCACAAUGGACGAAAGUCUGAUGGAGCAAUGCCGCGUGAGUGAAGACGGUUUUCGGAUCGUAAAACUCCGUUGUGAGGGAAGAACAAGUAUGAGAGUCACUGCUCGUACCUUGACGGUACCUCCUUAGAAAGCACCGGCUAACUACGUGCCAGCAGCCGCGGUAAUACGUAGGUGGCAAGCGUUGUCCGGAAUUAUUGGGCGUAAAGCGCGCGCAUGCGGUCCUUUAAGUCUGAUGUGAAAUCCCACGGCUCAACCGUGGAAGGUCAUUGGAAACUGGGGGACUUGAGUACAGAAGAGGAAAGCGGAAUUCCAAGUGUAGCGGUGAAAUGCGUAGAGAUGUGGAGGAACACCAGUGGCGAAGGCGGCUUUCUGGUCUGUAACUGACGCUGAGGCGCGAAAGCGUGGGGAGCAAACA
rnacentral:rRNA from 1 species